GCCAGUUGUAUUUAAUUCCCUUGUCUGCAGUUGACUCAUAUCAUUUGAACAUAUUUCACCGGCAUGCCCAAUCUCCGAAUGUGAGCAAUCAUCAUCCCCUGGCCACCGUUCACUGCUAUGCAAUGAAUUUGACAUGCUAGGGUUCCUAAUUGUGUUGGAUGCAACACUUUUAUCACAUGAAACUCUGUCCAACAAACAAUUCUUCUGGGUCUGUAAAUUCACUUUUGACUCAACUUCAGAUUCCAUUCUGUCCCUAUCUUUGGGUUCAAUAUCAAU
rnacentral:misc_RNA from 1 species